AGCUUUGUCCAAGUGACAUAUUUUCACUUUCAAAGGGGGAAGAUCAUUUACUUCACUACACCUGAAAGAGUAUCAUUGGCAAAAAGACCAAACACCCAGCUGGAAUCUGGCAGGAUGAUAGGGUUGAUAUAUUCCAUGCUAAUAUUUUUCUGCAUCAAAGCAAAAUCACUGUAUGAAAAGAUGCUCAUCUAAUGGCAGAUGAAGCAUGGAUAGAGGUCUAGAUUCCAAGUCAAAUUUGACCUCCAACAAAACUUACUAACUCUGUGACACUGGUAAAGCUGUGAACAUCUCUACUUUCCUUGGUUUCCUCAUCUUCAUAACAGCACCCACAUUGUAGUAUUAUUGCAAGCUUAAACUGAGAUAUUUAAAAACAUUUUAUAAACUAUAAAGUUCUACAAAAAUGGAAGCUUUUUCUGGAUCCCAUCAACCCUUUCCUCACUACCCUCUGGCUCUAAAUCUCUUUCUUUAGUCUGAUCGGAAAUGGUGGUAGGUAGACAGCUCCUCUCAGACACCGCCAAGUAGGGAGGAGAUCAGUAGAAUUCUGGAUUUAUCAUCCUCCCUUCAUUUCAUGUGUUAUUUUCCAUUAAAUUCU
rnacentral:lncRNA from 1 species